rnacentral:rRNA from 1 species
CGCGUAGGUGGUUGUAUAAGUUAGAUGUGAAAUCCCUGGGCUUAACCUAGGAACUGCAUCUAGAACUGUAUGACUAGAGUAUUGUAGAGGGUAGUGGAAUUUCCGGUGUAACGGUGAAAUGCGUAGAGAUCGGAAGGAACACCAGUGGCGAAGGCGGCUACCUGGACAAAUACUGACACUGAGGCGCGAAAGCGUGGGGAGCAAACA